rnacentral:rRNA from 1 species
AUUGAACGCUGGCGGCAUGCUUUACACAUGCAAGUCGAACGGUAACAGGUCUUCGGAUGCUGACGAGUGGCGAACGGGUGAGUAAUGCAUCGGAACGUGCCCAGUCGUGGGGGAUAACGCAGCGAAAGCUGCGCUAAUACCGCAUACGAUCUAUGGAUGAAAGCGGGGGACCGUAAGGCCUCGCGCGAUUGGAGCGGCCGAUGGCAGAUUAGGUAGUUGGUGGGAUAAAAGCUUACCAAGCCGACGAUCUGUAGCUGGUCUGAGAGGACGACCAGCCACACUGGGACUGAGACACGGCCCAGACUCCUACGGGAGGCAGCAGUGGGGAAUUUUGGACAAUGGGCGCAAGCCUGAUCCAGCCAUGCCGCGUGCAGGAUGAAGGCCUUCGGGUUGUAAACUGCUUUUGUACGGAACGAAAAGACUCUGGUUAAUACCUGGGGUCCAUGACGGUACCGUAAGAAUAAGCACCGGCUAACUACGUGCCAGCCGCCGCGGUAAUAC